rnacentral:rRNA from 1 species
UACGAAGGGGGCUAGCGUUGUUCGGAAUUACUGGGCGUAAAGCGCACGUAGGCGGAUUGUUAAGUCGGGGGUGAAAUCCUGGAGCUCAACUUCAGAACUGCCUUCGAUACUGGCGAUCUCGAGUUCGGGAGAGGUGAGUGGAACUGCGAGUGUAGAGGUGAAAUUCGUAGAUAUUCGCAAGAACACCCGUGGCGAAGGCGGUUCUCUGGGACGGUACUGACGCUGAGACGCGAAAGCGUGGGGAGCGAACAGG